rnacentral:tRNA from 1 species
GUUCGUAUAGCUCAGACGGAUAGAGCGAGCGCCUCCUAAGCGCUAGGCCACAGGUUCGACUCCUGUUACGAACGCCA